rnacentral:rRNA from 1 species
AUUGAACGCUGGCGGCAGGCUUAACACAUGCAAGUCGAGCGGGGUGAUGGUGCUUGCACUAUCACUUAGCGGCGGACGGGUGAGUAAUGCUUAGGAAUCUGCCUAUUAGUGGGGGACAACAUCUCGAAAGGGAUGCUAAUACCGCAUACGUCCUACGGGAGAAAGCAGGGGAUCACUUGUGACCUUGCGCUAAUAGAUGAGCCUAAGUCGGAUUAGCUGGGUGGUGGGGUAAAGGCCUACCAAGGCGACGAUCUGUAGCGGGUCUGAGAGGAUGAGCCGCCACAAUGGGACGGAGACACGGCCCAGACUCCUACGGGAGGCAGCAGUGGGGAAUAUUGGACAAUGGGGGGAGCCCUGAUCCAGCCAUGCCGCGGGUGUGAAGAAGGCCUUAUGGUUGUAAAGCACUUUAAGCGAGGAGGAGGCUCUUUUGGUUAAUACCCAAGAUGAGUGGACGUUACUCUCAGAAUAAGCACCGGCUAACUCUGUGCCAGCCGCCGCUGUAA